rnacentral:tRNA from 1 species
GCGUCUGUAGCUCAUCUGGAUAUAGCAUCGGACUUCUAAGCCGAGGGUAGCAGGUUCGAAUCCUGCCAGACGUGCCA